rnacentral:lncRNA from 1 species
UUGAAUAAACUCUUGUAUUUACUUGUUCCAUUUAGAACUUGUCCGGUUAGUCUUUCAUGUUGGUCUUGGUUGCUUUUAAUUAGAGAAAUGACCUUAGCCUUUCUUUGUGAUUUUUGAGAAGCCCACUUUAUCUAAAAGCCCUACCAUUGCACUAAAUGUAUCCCUAGUUGAUCCCUUUUGAGCCUAAUAGUGUUUCUUUGAUAACCACAUUACAAGUCUUACUCUUUUGAGAAAACAAAACUUCUUUUCAAC